UGGAAUUGGCAUUAUUGGGUAUUGACCCUCCGCUGCCAGAGCACGAGCUCACAUGACUCAUGCAUACUGAUUUCGUGGCCGGUGCUUCUUCGGUUGUUGGACGAUAAUCAUGGAGAGAGUGGAAUUGAGGUGGAUAGUACGAUAGGGGUCGAGGUAUUAGGAAUCGAUUACAGACGGGCACGCGCGAGACAUACGGCUCAAACUUAUAUUCCCCUACGCAAAAACCUAUUCCAAUAUGGCACUAUAUGGCAUCUUUUGGUGUAGGAGAUUAAUGGUUUCGUGGCCAACAAAAAAUGGUCUCCUACUUGCAUGUUAUAGACAUAUCAACCUCGCGGCGAUUU
rnacentral:lncRNA from 1 species